GGCUCGUUUGCUCAGCUGGUUAGAGCGCCGCGCUUUAUAAGCGGAGGUCGUAGGUUCGAAUCCUACAUGAGUCC